rnacentral:rRNA from 1 species
AGCGAACGCUGGCGGCAGGCUUAACACAUGCAAGUCGAGCGCCGUAGCAAUACGGAGCGGCAGACGGGUGAGUAACACGUGGGAACGUACCUUUUGGUUCGGAACAACACAGGGAAACUUGUGCUACUACCGGAUAAGCCCUUACGGGGAAAGAUUUAUCGCCGAAAGAUCGGCCCGCGUCUGAUUAGCUAGUUGGUGAGGUAACGGCUCACCAAGGCGACGAUCAGUAGCUGGUCUGAGAGGAUGAUCAGCCACACUGGGACUGAGACACGGCCCAGACUCCGACGGGAGGCAGCAGUGGGGAAUAUUGGACAAUGGGCGCAAGCUUGAUCCAGCCAUGCCGCGUGAGUGAUGAAGGCCCUAGGGUUGUAAAGCUCUUUUGUGCGGGAAGAUAAUGACUGUACCGCAAGAAUAAGCCCCGGCUAACUUCGUGCCAGCCGCCGCAGUAA